rnacentral:rRNA from 1 species
AACGAACGCUGGCGGCAUGCCUAACACAUGCAAGUCGAACGAGACCUUCGGGUCUAGUGGCGCACGGGUGCGUAACGCGUGGGAACCUGCCCUUAGGUUCGGAAUAACUCCCCGAAAGGGGUGCUAAUACCGGAUAAUGUCUUCGGACCAAAGAUUUAUCGACUUUGGAUGGGCCCGCGUUGGAUUAGCUAGUUGGUAGGGUAAUAGCCUACCAAGGCGACGAUCCAUAGCUGGUAUGAGAGGAUGAUCAGCCACACUGGGACUGAGACGCGGCCCAGACUCCUACGGGAGGCAGGAGUGGGGAAUAUUGGAAAGUGGGCGAAAUGCUGAUCCAGCAAUGCCGCGUGAGUGAUGAAGGCCUUAGGGUUGUAAAGCUCUUUUACCCGUGAUGAUAAUGACAGUACCGGGAGAAUAAGCUCCGGCUAACUCCGUG